rnacentral:ncRNA from 1 species
AAUUAAAUAAUAUAAUUUCGUAUAUGCUGGAUAAUAUGGAUCUAGCGUUUCUACAGGGGGCCUUAAACUACCUGACUACGAAUGUAUAGUUAC